GUCCUUUCCCGACACGGCCCCACUGUCAGACCGUGUUUGUGUGUGUGCGGUGUGUGUGUGAGCAAGCAAGGGAAAAAAUCGCACCAUUUUUCUCGUGCUCUUGCGUGCGUUUUUGGUCUUUUGAGAAGAGUUUAAUUGAAAAUUGAACGAAAAUAGACUAUGAUGAAUAUGUAAAAAGUAGUGCACUAAGUAGUCAACGAAGCGCCCGAAAAAUCAACUAAUAUACACACCGCUAUUAGUUAGUGCAAAAGUAAUUCAAAUUGCAAAAUUGAGUUCGGUCCUGGUGUGAGUGUGUGUAACUGUGUCUGUGAGUGCGUGCGUGCCAGUGUAUAAGUGAAAAAAUGAGGCGUAGUGAAAAUGCGUGCAAAACUGUCUAAAAGCUUGAUCUGAUUACGACCUCCGCCUGCCCUUAUCGGGAAGCACCCGCAGAGAUGUGUUGUAAAUGUUUAAAACGCGAGCUGACCGGUUAAAUCUUUAUUAACAGAAUUUAACUACACCACAAGAAAGCGUUUUGUUUGUUGUUGAUUUUACGUUAUGUUGUUCUUUGCCGGCGCUAAAAUGUGAAAAAGAAAAAAUACAUACAUAGCAACAAAUUGAACAGAAAACAAUACUAUACACAGAAUUGGGCUUGAUUUGUUGGAGGAAAAUGUUGAAAAGUGUGAUCUUGUCAAAUUGUACAAGCAAAAGAAAUUGUAUAAAUAGAGAUAUUUAACGUAGAACAAAACUCCCCUUCGAAACGUCCGAGUGUAAAAACAAAAUAGCCCGCCUUCUGACACAUACCUAAACACACACACAUACUCAUCCCCCUGAACCCCAUACAAAAUUCAAUAAUAUUUUCAUGAAAUUUCUACAAAAACAAUAGAAAUAAACCAUAAAAUUCGAAGAAAUGCUGCUCAAAUUUCAUAUUUAAUGUCAACCGACGACCUCACAGCAACAACAACAACAGCUGCUGCUAAAACGGGAAAAGGAACGGGAAUAACUGUAAGCUAGCACAGCCUAUAACGUGGGAGUGGGAGCGGGAGCGACGACGACCGACGCACACCUGUACUCUUCAGCGGGAGAGCGGCCGGAGAGAGAUCCAGCUUAAACGCAAACGUAAACGUGUGUGUUGGCCGCAUGCGCGACAUGCGUGAACGUUAAAUCCACCAGCAAGUCGCAUCUCGGAUCACUCUUACCGAUCAAAAUAACGCAAGCAGCAGCAGCAGCAGAGGAAAGCAGCAACCAGCACACCAAUCCAACAAUAGUUCCAGUUCCAUUUUGCCGAUAAAAAAAUUCGCUAUCAAAAUUCUAUAGAAAGUGAUUAAUAUUUUUUGAAUCGAAAUUCAAAAGGCUUUCGUCGGAGCAGCAGUCAUUGACAACCACAAAAAAUAAACAGAAACCAAGAUGCAGCGACGCGAACGGCAAGCUAGG